AUGGCGCGGCGUGCGUGCGUGUGUGCGCGCGCGAUAGGCCGGUGGAUGGUGGUGGUGCGACUGGCGACUUGUCGCCGCGGCCGAUGGGUUCCCACCCGUGUCGGGCCGGGGGCCUCCGGCGAGCGACAGGCAAGCGGCGCGCACCGCGCGUGCGAUCGACAGCGGAGGGACAGAAAGGUCGGCACCUGCCCCACGCAUCAUCAGCAUGGAGCCAUCUCCGUCACCUCCGUCCCCGGUCGUCCCCGGCCUCGUUCCAUUAUUACCAACUCCCGUUUUUCCUUUCCGCCAUCGCCAUGGAUGAUCCAUCCAUCAACCAAGGUCACGACAAAGCUCAGCUGCAUGCACCAACUGGUUGAUCGUCUGAGAGUGUCGCCUGCCGGACAAUUAAUUACCGGCGGGUGA
rnacentral:rRNA from 1 species